GGCAGCGUCACCUGGAUCUCCUCGAGCCAGGGCCCUCCGCGCGCCAGCACCUUCCCCAUCGCACGCGAUCUGUCCGCUCCGACGCACGGUGAGCGCGCUGCCGCCGCCUUGUCACCGACGUCCUGAUCCAUCGGCGGCAACGGCGGCUCCUUCUGGCCGGAUCAAGGCGCGGAGACCCGUGGGAUCCCCUCCUUCGGCAGGACCUCCUCAUCUGAUUGCAUUCUUGCACGGACAGAGAGUGGAACACCACCUUCAGUUUCUCAUCUGAUCCCACUUGUGGACUCCAUGAAUGAAGUAAGAUAACAAUCCAUUGGUCAAUUACAUUGCCUCUUUAGAUGGUUUUUAGUGGGCGUCAGACUUGGUUUAGAUGGCUUUUGUUGUGAAAGAAAACUUAUCUUUCUAAAGACUGUACUCUGAAUCUUACAUCUCAUACUUGAAUUUUUUUUUGCAUAAUUUUUUUAGGCCUGAUGUGUAUCCAACGGCAUGGGAGAUUAAAGAUUUUCAUGAGACUGACGAUUGUGAUUUUGGCCCUGUACUGAAUAAUUUUGUGAGCGACUGGGUGAUGAUGAUUACAAGCCAGGUAACCGAAAGAGUCCUUCGGCCGCUGGCUAGCUAGCUGUUCUUAUCUUACUAUUAUAUGUCUUCCUCAGUAUUGAUUUGUGAGUUAUUUCUUUUUUCGAACUAUGCAGGAGGACUGCAUGUGAUGAGUUAAGGCACAAGAACUACGACCAUUUUAGCUCCAGCAGUAAGUACACAACUAAUCAACAAUGCAUUUUCACGACCCAGACUUCUGCAUUCUGACUGACAGGCUCGCUGGCACAGCCACAUAAUCUCAUGCAUUCAAAUUGCUAGCUACACGAAAUACGCCCAGAUCUACGAGUAGGAAUCCAAGGUAACACUUAUUGCUUACAAGUAUUUACUUCAUUUUUCUUCUUGUAAAAAGAGAAUGCAAGCUGAAAUAUAAAGUCUGCAGAUUCCUCAUGUAUGUUCAAUUUCCAGAAUAGGAAGAACCAUACCAACAACAUACAUACAUAUUACAGUUCUGCAUUUUAAAUUUGAAGGCCAACGCAAAGCCCGAUCGAUGUAAUUGGAGGUGAAUGUUUGUUUUCUUGCUUGUAUUUAAUCUUAGAAAACAGAAUCUCAUCAAGUGAAAAUCCGCAGGCAUUGCAGUCCAAUUGUUCUAGGGAUUGGAACCAGACGUGUGACUGAAUACUGCUUGGAAGAUGUGAUUCUGCAAAGUUGAGGAAGUUGAGGAAGUAUGGACUCAGAUCCUUUAAGGGUUUGUUUCCAUACUGUGGGGCAGCAGGAUCUGAGUCCCACUAUGAGGGAUCAACCUUCAUAGAUCAGCUACCGGCGUCAUACUGCCCCCACAAGCCUUUUAAGGUAUGUUCUUCUUCAGGGAUUGCAGAGAGCAUGGACCACCGUAUGGAAGAAGGAGAUGCCAUCCUUGACUGUCGUUGUCUUUGGUGUGUUGCUGCCAUUUUUCUAAUUCUUGCACUACAGAGACCUUAGUCUAUCCAUGUAGGUCAUGCCUUCUGAUCAGUCUUUUGACUCUUAUGUACGUGUGUGCUCUUGCAUUA